UACGUAGGGUGCGAGCGUUAAUCGGAAUUACUGGGCGUAAAGCGUGCGCAGGCGGUUCGUUAAGUCAGAUGUGAAAGCCCCGGGCUCAACCUGGGAACUGCAUUUGAAACUGGCGGGCUUGAGUGUGGCAGAGGGGGGUGGAAUUCCGCGUGUAGCAGUGAAAUGCGUAGAGAUGCGGAGGAACACCGAUGGCGAAGGCAGCCCCCUGGGCCAACACUGACGCUCAGGCACGAAAGUGUGGGGAUCAAACAGG
rnacentral:rRNA from 1 species